rnacentral:rRNA from 1 species
UCGACGCAUUCUUCGGAAUGAGUGGCGCACGGCUGAGGAACACGUGACUAACCUACCCCGGUGUGGGGGAUAACGGGUCGAAAGACUCGCUAAUCCCGCAUACGAUAUCCUUUGGAUAGGAAAGCCGUAAGGCGCACUGGGCGGGGGUCGCGUCCCAUUAGAUAGUUGGUGUGGUAAUGGCGCACCAAGUCGAUGAUGGGUCUCUGGUCUGAGAGGACGACCAGACAGAUUGGGACUGAGACACGGCCCAAACUCCUACGGGGGGCAGCAGCAAGGAAUUUUCGGCAAUGGGCGCAAGCCUGACCGAGCAACGCCGCGUGGAGGAUGACGGCUCUUGGGUUGUAAACUCCUUUUGGGGGGGACGAUAAUGACGGUACCCUCCGAAUCAGGCCCGGCUAACUACGUGCCAGCAGCCGCGGUAAUACGUAGGGGCCAAGCGUUGUCCGGAAUUACUGGGCGUAAAGCGUGGGUAGGUGGUCGGUGAUGUGCCGCGUGAAAGCGCCGGAGUAAUGCCGGCGAGGUCGCGGUAGACACACGGACUGGAGGCUCGCAGAGGAACGUGGAAUUCCCGGUGUAGUGGUGAAAUGCGUAGAUAUCGGGAGGAACACCAGUGGCGCAAGCGGCGUUCUGGGCGAGACCUGACACUGAGCCACGACGGCGUGGGGAGCAAACAGGAUUAGAUACCCUGGUAGUCCACGCAGUAAACGAUGCAUACCAGGUGUGGGAUGGCGUUCGCGUCGUUCCGUGCCGCAGCUUACGCGAUGAGUAUGCCGCCUGGGGACUACGAGCGCAAGCUUAAAACUCAAAGGAAUUGACGGGGGCC